rnacentral:rRNA from 1 species
GACGAGGGGUCCAAGCGUUGUUCGGAAUCAUUGGGCGUAAAGCGGGUGUAGGUGGCUCUAUAAGUCAGAAGUGAAAGCCCUGGGCUCAACCCAGGAAGUGCUUUUGAUACUGCAGAGCUUGAAUGUGGGAGAGGGUAGUGGAAUUCCAGGUGUAGUGGUGAAAUACGUAGAUAUCGGGAGGAACACCAGUAGCGAAGGCGGCUCGCUGGGCCACACCUGACGCUGAGACGCGAAAGCUAGGGGAGCGAACAGG